UACGGGGGGGGCAAGCGUUGUUCGGAAUUACUGGGCGUAAAGGGCGCGUAGGCGGCCUUCUAAGUCGAACGUGAAAUCCCUGGGCUCAACCCAGGAACUGCGUCCGAUACUGGAAGGCUUGAAUCCGGGAGAGGGAUGCGGAAUUCCAGGUGUAGCGGUGAAAUGCGUAGAUAUCGGGAGGAACACCUGUGGCGAAGGCGGCCCCCUGGUUGGAUACUGACGCUGAGACGCGAAAGCGUGGGGAGCAAACAGG
rnacentral:rRNA from 1 species